rnacentral:RNase_P_RNA from 1 species
AGAGAAGACCGGACGGCCGCCUCUUCGGCCAGCAGGCCUGAAGGGGAGGAAAGUCCGAACUCCACAGGGCAGGGCGGUCGCUAACAGCGACUCUACGCGAGUAGAGGAAAGUGCCACAGAAAACAGACGGCCUUGAAGCUUCAAGGUCAAGGUGAAAAGGUGGGGUAAGAGCCCACCGCCCCGGUGGUGACACUCGGGGGCACGGUAAACCCCGCCCGGAGCAAGACCAAGUAUGUUUCGUUUGGGGAUUUCCCCAGGAGAGUGGCCCGCUCAACCCUCGAACCGAGGGACGAAACGGGUAGGUCGCUUGAACCAGAGGGCAACCUCUGGUCCAGAUAAAUGGCCGUCGCCCCGGAGGUCCGGGGUACAGAAUUCGGCUUACAGGUCUUCUCUGGAU